rnacentral:rRNA from 1 species
CCUACGGGAGGCAGCAGUGGGGAAUAUUGGACAAUGGGCGAAAGCCUGAUCCAGCCAUGCCGCGUGUGUGAAGAAGGCCUUCGGGUUGUAAAGCACUUUCAGUGGGGAAGAAAGCCUUGGGGCUAAUACCCUCGAGGAAGGACAUCACCCACAGAAGAAGCACCGGCUAACUCCGUGCCAGCAGCCGCGGUAAUACGGAGGGUGCGAGCGUUAAUCGGAAUUACUGGGCGUAAAGCGCGCGUAGGCGGUCUGAUAAGCCGGUUGUGAAAGCCCCGGGCUCAACCUGGGAACGGCAUCCGGAACUGUCAGGCUAGAGUGCAGGAGAGGAAGGUAGAAUUCCCGGUGUAGCGGUGAAAUGCGUAGAGAUCGGGAGGAAUACCAGUGGCGAAGGCGGCCUUCUGGACUGACACUGACGCUGAGGUGCGAAAGCGUGGGUAGCAAACAGGAUUAGAUACCCUAGAGUC